UACGGAAGGGGCUAGGCGUUGCUCGAAUCGACUGGGCGGUAAAGGGUGCGUGAGGCGGGUCUUUAAGGUCAAGGGGUGAAAUCCGUGGAGCUCAACUCCAGAACUGCCUUUGAUACUGAAGAUCUUGAGUUCGGGAGAGGUGAGUGGAACUGCGAGUGUAGAGGUGAAAUUGUAGAUAUUCGCAAGAACACCAGUGGCGAAGGCGGCUCACUGGCCCGAUACUGACGCUGAGGCACGAAAGCGUGGGGGAGCAAACAGGAUUAGAAAACCCCCAGUAG
rnacentral:rRNA from 1 species